AACGAACGCUGGCGGCAUGCCUAACACAUGCAAGUCGAACGAGACCUUCGGGUCUAGUGGCGCACGGGUGCGUAACGCGUGGGAACCUGCCCUUAGGUUCGGAAUAACUCCCCGAAAGGGGUGCUAAUACCGGAUAAUGUCUUCGGACCAAAGAUUUAUCGCCUUUGGAUGGGCCCGCGUUGGAUUAGCUAGUUGGUAGGGUAAAAGCCUACCAAGGCGACGAUCCAUAGCUGGGUGGAGAGGAUGAUCAGCCACACUGGGACUGAGACACGGCCCAGACUCCUACGGGAGGCAGCAGUGGGGAAUAUUGGACAAUGGGCGAAAGCCUGAUCCAGCAAUGCCGCGUGAGUGAUGAAGGCCUUAGGGUUGUAAAGCUCUUUUACCCGGGAUGAUAAUGACAGUACCGGGAGAAUAAGCUCCGGCUAACUCCGUG
rnacentral:rRNA from 1 species